ACACUUACCUGGCAGGGAGAUACCAUGAUCAAGAAGGUGGUUUUCCCAGGGCAAGGCUUAUCCAUUGCACUCCAGAUGUGCUGACCCCUGCCAUUUCCCCAAAUGUGGGAAACUCGACUGCAUAAUUUGUGGUAGUGGCGGACUGCAAUCGCGUUUUCCCCUU
rnacentral:snRNA from 1 species